rnacentral:piRNA from 1 species
UCCUAGUAGGAAUAUGGAAGACGAAGACGU